UGAUGGUGAGAGUAGAGGGUCAAACAGGAUACACUCUGCUUCUGGACUGUAAUGUCCAAACUCUCCCUGCCUCACAAUCCCCUUCUACUCCCCACCAGCCUCCGAGACAUUGUGGGGUCCCCAGCAGGCCCCUUCACAUACACCUAGAAAGUUACCACCUCCUUCUCCGCCUUCUCUUCCUUAUCCUAUGCCCCUCAGAAAUGGGGUCACUUCCUCUCUUCUGUGUUUCCCAGAGCUCUCCCUAAACCGUUCAGGUGGCCUUCCCCCAAAUUGCUCUGCCUGUUUGCCUGGGCUCCUAAGCGGCUCCCCCUGCUCCCAAGAGCUACCCCCAAACCACUCCACUUGCUCUCCAGGGCUCCCCCUAAACCACUCUCCUUGCUCGCUCCCGAUUUCUUGCUCUACCGGCUGUCUUUGCAGACCUGUCCCUUCGCCCCGCUCCUGCACACCUGCCCCAGCCUCCCCGCGUUCCUGGACUGCAGGGCUCCCUCCCCCUUUCUCCUGGUGCUGCUUCCUAGGACCCAAGCCCACCUCCUGAACCGCCGGCCAGCUCCCUGAGCGGCCCCAAAGCUGCAGGCUCGCGCACCCCCGGGGAGCUCCAGUAGAGCCAGCGCUGCUCCCCGCGCUUGGCCUGCGGCCGCCGCGCGCACCCUGCUCCUGCACCCCCGCGCCCACCCCACCCUGCUCCUGCACCCCCGGGCUCACACCCCCCUGCUCCUGCACGCUGGGCCUCAGCCCCUGCCUCUGCUGCGGUUCCCAGCUGAGCAACCCUCGCCCGCUGAGCCGCGGCUGCUCUGGCACCGCCGGGCUCAGCCCCUCGGCGGUCUGGAUCCCACCCCACGGGGCCCCGGGCCCCCUGCCCCCCUGAGGCCGCGCUGCUCCUCCGCUCCGGAUGGUGAUGCUGGGGAGGCCUCCAGCCCGCUGGGGCAGCCCCGCACCAACCCGCGGGGCCCCUUCCUCCUCCUCCUUUUCCUCCUCCUGCUUCUCCUCGCCACCGCAGAGCCUGCCCCUGCACCGCCCCUGCACCACCCCCGCACCAAACCCGUGCGCCCCUGCACUCGCACGUCUGUCCCUAGCCCUACGCGCUCCGCCGCCCGCCCGGGGCUCGCGCCCCCGCCUGCCCCCGCAGGUGCCGCUAGAGCAGCGCCAGGGCAGGGCGGGAGGGGGAGGGUGCCGCCGCGUGCGCGCGCGCGUGCGUGCCCAAAACGAGGCGGGACGGCC
rnacentral:lncRNA from 1 species